CAGCCGCCACGGUAAUACGUAGGGUGCAAGCGUUAUCCGGAAUUAUUGGGCGUAAAGAGCUCGUAGGCGGUCUGUCGCGUCUGCUGUGAAAACCGGAGGCUCAACCUCCGGCCUGCAGUGGGUACGGGCAGACUAGAGUGCGGUAGGGGAGAUUGGAAUUCCUGGUGUAGCGGUGGAAUGCGCAGAUAUCAGGAGGAACACCGAUGGCGAAGGCAGAUCUCUGGGCCGUAACUGACGCUGAGGAGCGAAAGCAUGGGGAGCGAACAGGAUUAGAUACCCCCGUAGUCCCUGUCUCUUAUAC
rnacentral:rRNA from 1 species